UGCGCAGGUGGGCUUGUAAGUCAGUGGUGAAAGCCUACAGCUCAACUGUAGAGGUGCCAUUGAUACUGGUCGGCUUGAGUAUGGACGAGGUAGGCGGAAUUUGUGGUGUAGCGGUGAAAUGCAUAGAUACCACAAAGAACACCAAUAGCGAAGGCAGCUUACUGGACCAUAACUGACACUGAGGCACGAAAGCGUGGGGAGCGAACAGGAUUAGAUACCCUGGUAGUCC
rnacentral:rRNA from 1 species